rnacentral:rRNA from 1 species
AUGGUUAGGAAGAAAAGAACUGGUCCUGGCAGCCCUGGAGAGAGUUCUGGGGAAGCUUCGGGAGCUUCUGGGCAGGGUUCCUCGCAGCGAGCUGAGAGAGCUCCUCAACAGCAUGGUGGAGGACGUGGUUUGGCACCUCAACAGCAUGGCCGUGGUGGGGGGCAACACCAGGGCCGCGGUGGGCACUAUCAGGGCCAUGGAUCAGCUUCACACUAUCCAGGUAGUGGCCCACCUGAAUAUCAACAGCGUGACUAUCAGGGGCGGGGACAUCCAGGUGGUGGUCCACCUGAAUAUCAACAUCGUGACUAUCAGGGGCGUGGACAUCCGGGGGGUGGCCCACCUGAAUAUCAACCACGUGACUAUCAGGGACGUGGUGGUCCACGCCCCAGAGGUGGUGGAGUGCCGCAGCCAUACUAUGGCGGGCAUAGGGGAGGUAGUGCUGGACGUAACGUUCCUCCAGGUCCAUCAAGAACAGUUCCCGAGCUGCACCAAGCCCCGUAUGUCCAAUAUCAAGCCCCGGUGGUUUCACCAUCCGCAUCGGGAGCUGGCUCAUCCUCUCAGCCUGUGUCAGAGGUGAGCAGUGGACAAGUCCAGCAACAGUUUCAGAAACUUGCGAUUGUUGAUCAAAGUUCAACAAGCCAAUCCAGUCAACUGGCACCAGCAUCAAGCAAAUCAGUUAGAUUUCCAUUGCGCCCUGGAAAGGGUACACAUGGAGAUAGGUGUGUCGUGAAGGCAAACCAUUUCUUUGCUGAGCUCCCUGAUAAAGACCUUCACCAAUAUGAUGUCUCCAUAACUCCAGAGAUUACAUCACGUGGUGUCAAUCGUGCUGUGAUGGCAGAACUUGUUAGGCUCUAUAGACAUUCUCAAUUGGAUGGACGCCUACCUGCGUAUGAUGGAAGGAAGAGCCUAUAUACAGCUGGGCCAUUGCCAUUUCCUUCAAAGACAUUUGAAAUUACUCUGCAUGACGAAGAAGAAAGCCUUGUUGGUGGUCAAGUCGCACCAAGGCGUGAGAGACAAUUCAGGGUGGUGAUCAAAUUUGCUGCUCGUGCUGAUCUCCACCAUUUGGCUAUGUUUCUAGCUGGAAGGCAACCUGAUGCACCUCAAGAAGCUCUUCAGGUGCUUGACAUUGUGCUGCGUGAACUGCCUACUGCCAGGUAUUCUCCAGUUGGCCGAUCAUUUUAUUCUCCGAACUUAGGGAGACGUCAGAAACUUGGUGAUGGUUUGGAAAGCUGGCGUGGAUUUUACCAAAGUAUAAGACCUACACAGAUGGGGCUUUCGCUGAAUAUUGAUAUGUCUUCUACUGCAUUUAUUGAGCCUCUUCCUGUGAUUGAUUUUGUUGCUCAGCUUCUGAGCAGAGACAUCUCAGUUAGACCCCUAUCUGAUUCAGAUCGUGUGAAGAUUAAAAAAGCCCUAAGAGGUGUAAAGGUUGAGGUUACACAUCGAGGAAACAUGCGUAGGAAAUACCGUAUAUCUGGACUAACUUCACAAGCAACACGAGAGCUAUCAUUCCCUGUUGAUGAUCGUGGUACUGUGAAGACUGUGGUGCAAUACUUCCUAGAGACCUAUGGUUUUAAUAUUCAGCACACAACUCUACCUUGCUUGCAAGUGGGCAAUCAGCAAAGGCCUAAUUAUCUUCCUAUGGAGGUUUGUAAGAUUGUUGAAGGACAACGUUACUCGAAACGACUGAAUGAGAAACAGAUAACUGCUCUACUGAAAGUGACUUGCCAGCGCCCUCAAGAGCGUGAGAAGGACAUCUUGCAGACAGUGCAUCACAAUGCAUACUAUGAAGAUCCAUAUGCACAGGAAUUUGGCAUAAAAAUUGAUGAGCGACUUGCAUCGGUUGAAGCUCGUGUUCUGCCUCCGCCAAGACUUAAAUACCAUGAUAGUGGCAGAGAGAAGGAUGUCUUGCCCAGGAUCGGCCAAUGGAACAUGAUGAACAAGAAAAUGGUGAACGGUGGUAGGGUCAGUCACUGGGCAUGUAUAAACUUCUCUCGGAAUGUGCAAGAUAGUGCUGCCAGGGGGUUUUGCCAUGAGCUUGCUAUAAUGUGCCAAAUAUCUGGAAUGGACUUUGCACCUGAACCUGUUCUGCCCCCACUUACUGCGAGACCUGAACAUGUAGAAAGAGCACUAAAGGCGCGUUAUCAAGAUGCCAUGAAUAUAAUCAGACCCCAGGGAAGAGAACUUGACCUGCUAAUUGUAAUACUGCCUGACAAUAAUGGUUCUCUUUAUGGGGAUCUCAAAAGGAUUUGCGAGACUGAUCUUGGAUUGGUAUCUCAGUGUUGUCUGACAAAACAUGUUUUUAAGAUGAGCAAGCAGUAUCUUGCAAAUGUAGCUCUUAAGAUUAAUGUUAAGGUGGGUGGAAGGAAUACUGUACUUGUGGAUGCCUUGACAAGGAGGAUUCCCCUUGUCAGUGACAGACCAACAAUAAUAUUUGGUGCUGAUGUUACACACCCUCAUCCUGGAGAAGAUUCCAGUCCUUCCAUUGCUGCUGUGGUUGCUUCCCAAGACUGGCCUGAGGUCACUAAGUAUGCAGGAUUAGUUAGCGCCCAAGCCCAUAGGCAAGAGUUGAUACAGGAUCUUUUCAAAGUAUGGCAAGAUCCCCAAAGAGGAACUGUGACUGGUGGCAUGAUCAAGGAGCUUCUCAUUUCUUUCAAGAGGGCAACUGGACAGAAACCCCAGAGAAUCAUAUUUUACAGGGAUGGUGUCAGCGAGGGACAGUUCUAUCAAGUUCUUUUGUAUGAACUUGAUGCCAUUAGAAAGGCAUGUGCGUCCUUGGAGCCCAAUUACCAGCCUCCAGUUACUUUUGUAGUCGUCCAGAAGCGUCAUCACACCAGGCUCUUUGCUAAUAACCACAACGAUCAGCGUACUGUUGAUAGAAGCGGAAACAUACUGCCUGGCACAGUUGUUGAUUCAAAGAUUUGCCAUCCGACCGAGUUCGAUUUCUACUUGUGUAGCCACGCUGGCAUUCAGGGAACUAGCCGUCCUGCUCAUUAUCACGUUCUAUGGGACGAGAACAAAUUCACUGCUGAUGAGUUGCAAACUCUAACAAACAACUUGUGCUACACGUAUGCUAGGUGCACCCGCUCUGUAUCAAUUGUGCCUCCAGCAUAUUAUGCACAUUUGGCAGCCUUCCGGGCUAGAUUUUACAUGGAGCCGGAUACCUCUGACAGUGGGUCCAUGGCAAGCGGUGCCCGUGGCCCUCCACAGGGCGGACGCAAUACCAGGCCGUUUGGGAAUGUUGCUGUCAGGCCCCUCCCCGCCCUGAAGGAAAACGUGAAGCGGGUCAUGUUUUACUGUUAA